UACGUAGGGUGCGAGCGUUGUCCGGAAUUAUUGGGCGUAAAGAGCGUGUAGGCGGCCAGGUAGGUCUGCUGUGAAAACUCGAGGCUUAACCUCGAGAUGUCGGCGGAAACCAUCUGGCUAGAGUCCGGAAGAGGAGAAUGGAAUUCCCGGUGUAGCGGUGAAAUGCGCAGAUAUCGGGAAGAACACCCGUGGCGAAGGCGGUUCUCUGGGACGGUACUGACGCUGAGACGCGAAAGCGUGGGGAGCGAACAGG
rnacentral:rRNA from 1 species